rnacentral:misc_RNA from 1 species
UGUGGGAGCGAGCUUGCUUGCGAUGAGGGCGUGUCAGUCAACAUAUGUGUCGUCUGACAGUCCGCAAUCGCGAGCAAGCUCGCUCCCACA